rnacentral:tRNA from 1 species
GCAGUGGUGUUUUAGUCGUAGAACUCCCGCCUUCCAUGUGGGAGACACAGGCUUAAUUCCUGGUCAUUGUA